rnacentral:lncRNA from 1 species
UUACCCAGCAAGGCAAGGAGGGAGGAGCAGGGCUGAAGGCAGGCGAGUCCUAGAUCAGGGACCAGCGCUGACCCUGGGCUUAACCAGGGACCACGCGUGAUGACUGAGCCUCAGCCCGGGGCUAGGACCACCAUGGGCUUCCAGGACCUUGAAGACUGGUGGAGCUUCUGUUCAGAGGCCAGCGGGUCUGCUGACCACACUGCCCCGGGGUGCCCCACACCCCCAGGCGGGUUCCCUCAUUCCCUGUGGAGGCAACCUCGUGGGGCCCCAUGUCCCUCCACUGUGGGGGAACAGGAGUGUGUUCUCACCCACACAGCUGGAAAUCCCAGGUGGCCCAGUGAGCUGAGCAGCUCCAGAGCUCCCGUAGGAAGACUCUGCAACCCUCUGGUCAGUACGUGGGGAGCUGAUUUCACUCUGCAGGGAUCAACUGGCAAGAAGGUCAUCACCCAAAUGGACAACAUUCAGUUCAGUCGCUCAUUCAUGUCCGACUCUUUGCGACCCCAUGGACUGCUGCACACCAGGCUUUCCUGUCCAUCACCAACUCCUGGAGCUUUCUCAAACUCAUGUCCAUCGAGUCAGUGAUACCAUCCAACCAUCUCAUCCUCUGUCAUCCCCUUCUCCUCCUGCCUUCCAUCUUUCCCAGCAUCAGAGUCUUUUCCAAUGACUCAGUUCUUCCCAUCAGGUGGCCAAAGUAUUGGAGUUUCAGCUUCAGCAUCAGUCCUUCCAAUGAAUAUUCAGGACUAAUCCCUUUUAGGAUUGACUGGUUAGAUCUCCCUACAGUCCAAGGGACUCUCAAGAGUCUUCUCCAACACCACAGUUCAAAAGCAUCAAUUCUUCGGCACUCAGCUUUAUUUAUAGUCCAACUUUCACAUCCAUACAUGACUACUGGAAAAAACCGUAGCUUUGACUAGAUGGACUUUUGUUGGCAAAGUAAUGUCUCUGCUUUUUAAUAAGCUAUCUAGCAUGGUCAUAGCUUUUCUUCCAAGGAGCAAUCAUCUUUUAAUUUCAUGUCUGCAGUCACAUUCUGCAGGGAUUUUGAGGACCCCAAAAAUAAAGUCUGUCACUGUUUCCA